ACAUCACUCACCUCUGUCACACAUGUUCAGACUCUGUCCACUGUUGUGGUCCUACUGAAGCUGUGAUCCGAUUGGUCCUCUCUGCUCUGGUGGGCGUGGCUACUGUCAUUAUUCUGGUUUAUGACAUCAGAUCCAGAAGAGCUGAACGAGAUCAAGCUCAUAUUCACACAUCAGGAAGUAUUGAAAUCUAAAGCAGAACGCUGAACGUUAAAGAUUCUUCAAGUGUGUUUUUGUCAUAAUAAACACUGAUGAUUAUUUGAGCUUCUCUCUCUCAGUGUCAGAUUUAUUUAAAAUCUUAUUUGUAAGGCUUUAUUGUUUAUAUUUCUCUCUGAUACAAACACAUUAAUAAAGAGACACACAGAUCUCACUUUACUAAUACUGCUGUUCAUCUGUCAUAUGUAUUUGCUUGUCUUUAUCAAUAAAGUUUUCUCACUCUGAGCUUCAAGAGUCUCUCCAUGUUUUAUUACAUUUAUUAUGUCGAGCACCCCCUGGAGGAAUACUAACUUUAUGUAUAUUUUAACUAUUUCAGCACUGUGCCACAUACAUAGCUUUACAUUAUAUUAUUUAAAACAUUAUUUGUAAAUGUUUACAUUAUUAAGUUUAAGUUUUAAUUUAAUUAAGUUAAUUAAUUUUCUUUUUGUUUGUCUAUCCACACUAAUAAAUAACU